GUCUUUUUGAAAAUAAUUUAAAGUCUAAUCUGCCCACUGAUAAAUAUAUUAAAGGGCUGCAGUAUUUUGACUGUACAAAGGUAGCAUAAUCAUUAGUCUCUUAAUUGGUGACUUGUAUGAAAGAUUGGAUGAAAUAUAAACUGUCUCUAAUUAAUUUAUAAAAUUUAAUUUUUUAGUAAAAAAGCUAAAAUAAUUUUAAAAGACGAGAAGACCCUAUAGAGUUUUAUAAUUUGUUUAAUUAUUAUUAAUAUGUAAAUUUUAAAAUUAAAAUUAAAUAAAUUAUUUUGUUGGGGUGACAGAAAAAUUAAAUUAACUUUUUUAGAUAAUUAACAUUAAUUUAUGAAUAAAUGAUCCAUUAAUAUUGAUUAAAAGAAAAAAUUACCUUAGGGAUAACAGCGUAAUUUUUUUUUUUAGUUCAAAUAGGAAAAAAAGUUUGCGACCUCGAUGUUGGAUUAAGAUAAAAUUUAAAUGCAAAAGUUUAAAAUUUUGAUCUGUUCGAUCAUUAAAAUCUUACA
rnacentral:rRNA from 1 species